UCGUGUUCCUGUGUCUGCGACUCAUGCAUAGGUGGUGGAGUCUGAAAUCCAUAUUGAGAUGAUGAUUCUAAAUUGUAGGUGAAUGGCUGUGACUCAGAAUUGAUAUAAGAUGGACCAGUAACGUCCUGCCCGAAAAAAUCAUUUAUCAUUCCUGGGAGCGUGCAUUGAGUAUCAUGGGUUUCUGUGAGUAUUUUUUUCUGUACGCCACGCUGGGUAUGUUCAUCUCCCCAUGAUGGAUCAUUAAUUUCCUGCUCCACGAAAAAUUGUUUUUAAAAUAAACUGUGUGUAGCAAAAAGAUGUGUAAAUAGAAGUUAUGUAAUUGCUUAUUACAAUUAUACAUACCUGACCGCUGUUGUAGCUUUGUGCUCCCUCUCUUGUCUCAGCCCAACGAUUCUCCUCGGGCAUCCUAAUCCCUCGCGUGGGCAGAUAUGGCUGAGAUCCUUGAGUGUGUGCGCCAUAUGCUGUAUAUGCAUCCUGCUCCACGAAAUGAG
rnacentral:lncRNA from 1 species